rnacentral:lncRNA from 1 species
GGAUUUAGCUAUAAUGAAGUCUCGAGAAACUUUCACCUAGCUUGUGUGACCCUUCUCUUAUAAUAAAUUCUUAGGGUUCAAAAUAGGUCUAUUUGAUUUAUAUAGUGUGUUGGUAAACAAGAAAUUAUUUCAUUUGCAAACCCAAAAUACAUAGGACUGAAAUAUUUCUGACACUCUUUCUGCAAUUUUCUUAAGUAAUCAAAUAUCACCUAAGCUUUCUGCAUCUUCUUUGCAGCAGUGCCAGUGCAACAGGAAGAUCAGGUUGGAGAUGUCCUUACAUUUGUUUAGCUGGAAAAUCUCCAUGUUAGCAGCAUCGGUUGUUCAAGUCACAUUAUAAGAAUCGCCAGUGCAGAAUCAUCAAUAAUCAAAAGAUCAAGAAAGCUAGCGCAAUGAAUGUGAGUUUCAUAAUGAAAAUAUUGAUGAAAAGUAAAGUUCAUCUUCAAAAUAUUUGAAGGACAAUAGGUCAUUCUACCUAUGACUUUCCACAAAAUUAUCUAAAUCAAGCCUUGUUCCGGCAGAAAUUAUAUUACACAACCUUAUGCAAUUAUUUAAGUUCCAUCUACUACUAGCAAUCUUUGAUUUGAACGUAGAUAUUGCACUUUAAUGACAUUUUCUAUGUGAAGUCACAUUAUAAGAAGGGUGAUUUAGGUUUUGAUCACCAAAGGUUUAUACUAAUUAGGGUUCGGAGCUGGUUUUCUUUUUUAUUAGGUUUUGGCCAUCAACGGUAAACUGAACCAAACAACAUUCUAUAAUGGCUGAAAUACCCUUGCUAGAAUUUACACGUGAUUUGCACUAGAUUAACUUUUAGAUCUGACAAAGACACGUUGCACACAUGUGACGACCGAUCUACCUCGUCCAAAUCUGUUCGUCCAUAAAAAACACUUCAAAAAUCUCGAGGCAAAAUUAUUGGAAAAUUGGUGGCAGUACACCCAACUUGUUUCUAUAUUCUCCAAAAUUAUUGGAAAAUUGUGGCAGUACACUUCAAAAAAAAAAAAAAAAAAAAAAAUUAAUUAUUCACAUUCAUAUGGUUCAACAGUAGGAAAACCUUCAAUAAUUUUUUUUAAUUCAACAAUUUCAUGUAAUUGCUGUGAUUUCUUCUUCACACUUAAGAUUUGUUAUAACUCUUCUGAAAACUAGUAUCUAUGGAUAAAUCUCGUUCGUCAAUUGAAUUAUGAAAACCCCGCUCGGUUCGAAUGUUUUUCGAUUAAUUCGAAGACUCAGACAACAAUUCGAAGAAGUAAUUCAGGUUGAAUUAGGCAAGAAAAUGAUCGAAGAACAGAUCUAGCAACACAAACACGAUGAAAAAUUGAGGGUUUCUUGAUUUGAAUGUGUUGUGA